AGCGCUGGUAGGCUAGUCCUACAGAGGACAUUUUAUGGAUAAAGAGAGCGCUGGUAGGCUAGUCUACAAAGGACAUUAUUAAUGAUAAGAGAGAGCGCUGGUACUGGCUAGUCUACACGAGGACAUUAUGAUAGAUAAGAGGAGAGCGCUGGUAGGCUCAGUCCACACGAGACAUGUAAUCAUUGAUAAGAGAGCGCUGGAGGCAGGUCUACACGACGGACAUUAAUUUGGAUAAGAAGAGCGCCUGGUAGGCUAGUCUAACGAGAAAAUUAUUAUGGAAUAAGAGAGAGCGCUGUAGGCUAGUCUACACAGGACAUUAUAGGAGAUAAGAGAAGCGCUGGUAGGCGAGUCUACACGAGGAACAUUAUUAUGGAUAAGAGAGAGCGCUGGUAGGCGAGUCUACACGAGGACAAUUAUUAUGGAUAAGAGAGCGCUGGUAGGCUAGUCUACACGAGGACAAUUAGUAUGGAUAAAGAGAGAGCGCUGGUAGGCGAGUCUACACGAGGACAUUAUAUGGAUAAGAGAGAAGCGCUGGUAGGCUAGUCCUACACGAGGACAUUAUAGGAUAAGAGAGAGCGCUGGUAGGCUAGUCUACCGAGGACAUAUAUGGAAAGAGAGAGCGUGGUAGGCUAGUCUACACGAGGACAUUAUUAAUGGAUAGAGAGAGCGCUGGUAGGCUAGUCACCGAGGACAUUAUAUGGAUAAGAGAGAGCGCUGGUAGGCUAGUCUAUAUCCAACGAGGACAUUAUUAUGGAUAAGAGAGAGCGCUGGUAGGCUAGUCUAUACACGAGGACAUUAUUAUGGAUAAGAGAGAGCGCUGGUAGGCUAGUCUACACGAGGACAUUAUUUAUGGAUAAGAGAGAGCGCUGGUAGGCUAGUCUACACGAGGACAUUAUUAUGGAUAGAGAGAGCGCUGGUAGGCUAGUCUACACGAGGACAUUAUUAUGGAUAAGAGAGAGCGCUGGUAGGCAUAGUCUACACGAGGACAUUAUUAUGGAUAAGAGAGACCUGGUAGGCCG
rnacentral:lncRNA from 1 species